UACGUAGGUGGCAAGCGUUAUCCGGAAUUAUUGGGCGUAAAGAGCGCGCAGGUGGUUAAUUAAGUCUGAUGUGAAAGCCCACGGCUUAACCGUGGAGGGUCAUUGGAAACUGGUUGACUUGAGUGCAGAAGAGGGAAGUGGAAUUCCAUGUGUAGCGGUGAAAUGCGUAGAGAUAUGGAGGAACACCAGUGGCGAAGGCGGCUUCCUGGUCUGCAACUGACACUGAGGCGCGAAAGCGUGGGGAUCGAACAGG
rnacentral:rRNA from 1 species